rnacentral:rRNA from 1 species
UACGUAGGGUGCAAGCGUUGUCCGGAAUUAUUGGGCGUAAAGAGCUCGUAGGCGGUCUGUCGCGUCUGCUGUGAAAACUCAGGGCUUAACCCUGAGCUUGCAGUGGGUACGGGCAGACUAGAGUGCGGUAGGGGAGACUGGAAUUCCUGGUGUAGCGGUGAAAUGCGCAGAUAUCAGGAGGAACACCGGUGGCGAAGGCGGGUCUCUGGGCCGAUACUGACG